UUUUAAGUUGAUGCCAAAUCAUUCCAAUAUCGAGCAUCUUAAAUCUGUUACUUCGAGUAUGGAUUGAGUUUAGAGCUAACUCAGAGGACUUCAGGCAAGUAUCCAGGAGGUAGUGAGAGGAAUGUUUUAAUAGUUCAAAAAUUCGGUUUGCAUCCUAUAUUCAAAUGCAAAUCUCUUAAGAUCACACAUACUGACAUGUGAUAGUAUAUUUGAAAAUUUGGCCAUAGACUAAAUUCCAUAUUUAACAGCAAAGAUUUUCUCCAAUCAAUUAUAUGUUAUUUUGGUUGUUAUAGAAUUAUGGGUGUUAAGCCAGUGAGUAAUCAUUAUUGAUACAUGCCCAGGUUAGCCAUAAUUGGGUUAGCAAGAUUAUACAUUCAUAAACUGUGAUCUCUAAGUUAACUUAUUUAUUUAGAAGUUGACGUUCUAAAUCAAACUUUAUUUUUUCCUUUUGCAGGUGGAUAUUACUAUCCCUUAUUCAUGGAAAAAGUUGUAUUCUAAGUGUUGUUUCUCGUUGAGUAUUAACAAAAAGGAGAAAAAUUAAUGUCCUAAAGUUUUGAGAUAGAUUUGGCUCUAGCAUAUAUUUUGACACCACCACCGCCCCCCACCCCCAAAAAGGUGAGAACUGAUUAUACCAUGGGUACCUAGAACACAUGGAGGAAAGACUGAGACUGGAAGCAGAAAACAGACAUUAUACAGAGCAGAGUGCCUGACAACAGCUCACUCUAUAGUAAAGGGCAAUAAAUGCCACAUGAGAUGAUCCCCUCAGCACAAAACUUUACAUCUGACUUACAUGCCUGAUCUGCUGACUUCUACUGUCUUUUCAUGACUCCUACAUUAUGGAGGCAAUACCGAGGCGCUGGCACUGAAGCCGGGCAGGCUCGGUAGUCGAGGUUUUCUGGAGCAAAGACACGCUGCCCCGGCCCGCCGGACGCCCAUCUGCACGCCGCUCCUCCCCACGCCCUGUCUCGGUGCCCCGCUGAUUUCCGCUGUGCUGCUGGGACUGGAGCUCAAAUUGAGCUCUCCGCCAGCCCCCCACCCACGCAAGUCCCUGCCCUGCCAGGGCAAGUCCCCACCCUCGCGGUAGGCUCAAGGACCACCCUGCGGCGAGUACUUAUCUCCGACCU